rnacentral:rRNA from 1 species
UACGUAGGGUGCGAGCGUUGUCCGGAAUUAUUGGGCGUAAAGAGCUCGUAGGCGGCUUGUCGCGUCGGAUGUGAAAGCCCGGGGCUUAACUCCGGGUCUGCAUUCGAUACGGGCAGGCUAGAGUUCGGUAGGGGGGAUCGGAAUUCCUGGUGUAGCGGUGAAAUGCGCAGAUAUCAGGAGGAACACCGGUGGCGAAGGCGGAUCUCUGGGCCAUUACUGACGCUGAGGAGCGAAAGCGUGGGGAGCGAACAGG